UCUCAAAUCAGGUAGGACUACCCGCUGAACUUAAGCAUAUCAAUAAGCGGAGGAAAAGAAACUAACAAGGAUUCCCCUAGUAACGGCGUGUGAAGCGGGAAGAGCUCAAAUUUAAAAUCUGAUAGUCUUUGGCCGUCCGAGUUGUAAUCUAGAGAAGUGUUUUCCGCGUUGGACCAUGUACAAGUUUCCUGGAACGGAACGUCAUAGAGGGUGAGAAUCCCGUCCUUGACAUGGACUACCAGUGCUUUGUGAUACACUCUCAACGAGUCGAGUUGUUUGGGAUUGCAGCUCAAAAUGGGAGGUAAAUUCCUUCUAAAGCUAAAUAUUGGCGAGAGACCGAUAGCGAACAAGUACCGUGAGGGAAAGAUGAAAAGCACUUUGGAAAGAGAGUUAAACAGUACGUGAAAUUGUUAAAAGGGAAACGAUUGAAGUCAGUCGCGUUUACUUGGACUCAGCCUUACCUCGGUUUGGUGCAUUUCCUUGUGAACGGGCCAGCGUCAAUGUUGUCCGUUGGAAAAGGGUUGGAGAAAUGUGGCUCUUUCGGGAGUGUUAUAGUCUCUGAUCGUAUACAACGGCUGAUAUUGAGUGGUACAGCAUGCUUCGGCGGUGCUUGUGCUGGCAUAAU
rnacentral:rRNA from 1 species